rnacentral:piRNA from 1 species
UAGCAGCUGCCCUGGGUGUCAGGAGA